UAAAUACUCCCUCCAUCUCAAAAUUCUUGUCUUUAAUUUAUCAGAUAUGAAUGUAUAUAGUCAUGUGUUAAUAUUUAGAUACUUCAUUUCUAUACAAACGUAAGACAAGAAUUUUAGGACGGACGGAGUAUUUC
rnacentral:pre_miRNA from 1 species